AGCCUCAUGGUCUAGUGGUAUGACGCUUCCUUGUGGGUUCUCCGAAAAAAAAUUCCGGUUCGUUGUACCAUGCGCUAACAAAAAUCACAGCACACGUUGAGCGGAAUAGGUCCUGGGUUCGAAUCCCAGUGGGGCUA